AACAAGGACAGAACGAGUAGGAGAUGUUUCUCUUGUACAACCAGAAGACCUAAAGCAGCCCAGCUUUUCUACCCAUUCCCCCCAGCUUGGGACUUAGUGGGAGAAGGCUAACAGCAAAGCUCAAAACUCCAUGCUACCUACACCACCCUAAGGAGGGAUGGGUGGUCUCAGAUUAAAAGUUCUUCAAGAAGAUGCUACCCUAGCAUCACCGAGCUCCAGGACAGAGCCAGCACCUGCUAGUGACCAAGCUAGGAAGACAAAAGCCAACCGCUGGAGACAUUUUACGGGGCUGUGAACUCCCACCGUCUGGGAACUGCCGUCCUAUGGGGUGAUGGCCCCAACUCUUGCUCUGCUGGAUGGAACAAGGAACGGGGUAGGAACCCCAGAGAUCCCCAGCCUGCGAAGCAGAGGGAUUAGAAAUGGCUUGGAUCAGACAAACUGAGGCUUGAAUCUGGUUAACCAGCUGUGUGACUUUUGGUGCCCUGGUGACUGUGAGCCAGCGUGGGACCUCUGGCAUCUGAUGUCUACCCAGGCUCUGUGCUGACACCAGCUUACAGGACACCCCCACCUCAAUUUCAGUAUCACAAGCAAAUCCUUGUAGGGGACUCUCAGUCUAGCUCAAAGCAAGGCUAUCUGUCUUAGUUGGUGGUGAGAUUUCCGUCAGAGAAGACAUUCAAGUAAAAGGUGAAAUAGUGUCUUCUUCAGCCAAGAACAGUGAUGCUUAAACUUUCCUGUGCAUGAGAAUCAUCUGAAGAGCUUUCAAGAUACAGAUUGCUGAGAUUGCUGGGCCAGACCCCCAGAGUUUCUGAUUCAGGCGGUCUUGGAUGGACCUGAGAAUCUGCAUUUCUAACAAGUUCCCAGAGUUUGAGAACUUCCCUCGUGGCAAAGUGGAUAGGAAUCCACCUGCCAAUGCUGUGGACAUGCGUUCUAUCCCUGGUCCAGGAAGAUUCCACAUGCCUAGGAACAGCUAAGCCCCUGUGCCAUGACUACUGAGCCUGCGCUCUAGACCCCACAAGCUGCAGCUAUUGAGCUCAAGUGCCUAGAGCUCUGCAACAAGAGAAGCCACUGCAAUGAGAAGCCCUAGCAUCACAACGAAGAGUAGCCCGUACUGACCACAGUUAGAGAAAGCCCGAGUGCAGCA